GUCCCUGUAGCUCAGCUGGACAGAGCGGCUGCCUUCUAAGCAGCGGGUCGAGGGUUCGAAUCCCUCCAGGGACUCCA
rnacentral:tRNA from 2 species